rnacentral:misc_RNA from 1 species
CGUCAAACUAAAAGUCAGUAAAAUAAAAUUUUAAUGCCAUAAAUGCCCUUAUGUUUGGCUUGGCGCUUUUUUUUUUUCCAUUCAGCGUUUCAAAUUCCUUUUCUCCAAUUCUUUUCACCCACUGUGUUUCUCUUAUUCUCUUUCUUCCGCAAAGCACGAUGCCGGCAAUACCUCUUUCGCCUCAACUCUUUCUUCUUUUGACUCUAUUUUGAUUAUUGCUUUGGUAUAUGUUGACUCUAUUUUGGUUUUUUAAGAAUCGAUUAGGUUUGGUUGACAUGCAUUCACUUGGGCAUCAUAAUCUGAGGCAGGAUAGCAUGUGCAAUUGAACUAGCAUAAUGCAUCAGAGGUGGAAAUUAAAUUGCCUGCAAUAUCUCCUACUUCUGCAUUCAUGGCCAUGAAACCCAAUGGGUCGCUAUGAGAUAUUGAAUGUAUUGUUGGGUCUCAAAACUUUGGUUUUGCUAAGCUUGUUAGAGAUAAAUUAAGUGGUGAACUCUAUGCUGUCAAG